rnacentral:lncRNA from 1 species
AACAGAGGCAAAUUGAAAACGGGCCCAUUGUCAUCAUUUUUAAAGAAGAAAAGAUGCGCUGGUCUCCUGGUGAUGACUGGAGGCCACAAUUAACCAACCGGCUGCCCUUGGCUUGCCUCUGCUCAGUGUGUUCAAAGCUCAUCCGAUGAUUCUCAACAUGUCAUUAUUAUUGCUAAGCAACAACUGGCUAGAACCGACCCUGACUGAGUAAAGCAAAUGGUGUUUCAGAAAUUCUACAGAAAACGAUCACUGUGCAAAGACCAGCAGACUACCUGGGGAAAGAAAAAGCACAAGAAGAAAGCGACG